AAAGCUCGUAGUUGAAUUUCGGGAUUGACGUGACGGUCGUGCCUUACGGGGUAUGAACUGUUGCUGUUGAUUUCUCACCUUCUGGAGAAACUUGAUGUCCUUAAUUGGGUGUCUUGUGGAUCCAGGACCUUUACCUUGAAAAAAUUAGAGUGUUUAAAGCAGGCAUUUUUGCUCGAAUACAUUAGCAUGGAAUAAUAGAAUAGGACGGCAUGGUUCUAUUUUGUUGGUUUCUAGGAUCACCGUAAUGAUUAAUAGGGAUAGUUGGGGGCAUUAGUAUUCAAUUGUCAGAGGUGAAAUUCUUGGAUUUAUUGAAGACUAACUACUGCGAAAGCAUUUGCCAAGGAUGUUUUCAUUAAUCAAGAACGAAAGUUAGGGGAUCGAAGACGAUCAGAUACCGUCGUAGUCUUAACCAUAAACUAUGCCGACUAGGAAUCAGACGAUGUUAAUUUUUUAAUGACUCGUUCGGCACCUA
rnacentral:rRNA from 1 species